GUGCUCAUUUUGGCAGCACAUAUACUAAAAUUGGAGCAAUACAGAAGAUUAGCAUGGCUCUUGCACAAGGGUGACAUGCAAAUUCCUGAAGCAGUCCAUAUUUUU